rnacentral:lncRNA from 1 species
UAACAAUAAACUGUUUAGAACCAUGGGCCGUAUCUUUUCAUCAAGAUCUGCAGUGAGGAGCCAUGAAGAAGGCCUUCACCUACAGAGUCUUAGCCUAAUCUCCCUUAGAAGGCCCCUCUGUGCUCCCUGCCACAACAGCCACCAAGAUGAAGACAAUCACCAUGUGAGACAAGCCUUGUCCCCCAGCACCGGGCUAGAUGCUAUCCCCAGCCCUCAGAUCCCAGACUCUGCUCUCCCAGUGGUGCCUGGAUGUCCAAGAGUCUGAGAAGAACCCCACGGCCCCAGCCUUGUCAUAGGCCCAGGGACCCCAAGCCAGCUCCAGCUUUCCCAUGUCUCAGACUGCACCUUCCCACCCUCAGAUCUGCGUCUUGGCACUUUCCUACAGCCCAGCACCCACCUCAGCAGUGGCGGCAUGGGGUAAGCACAAACUCCCAGAAUUCCACCCAGUGUCAAAGCAGACACAGGCGAACAACCCUACAACGAGACCUCCCAGAAGUUCUUCUUUCAGACAUGGUGUCUGGGGAUGCUUGACCUCAGAAUACAAGCUAAGGACUUUCCCAAGGAGGACCUUGCCAAGUCUGCCCACCUCAUAGUCUUUCUGGUCUCACGAGCCGGGAUCACCUACUUUGUCUGGGAAGUUAACAGGUCAGGACCCAAGUGGACAAGAAAGUUAUGGAGGCUGAGGGCACCGUGGAAGCACCUCUGUGGUAGUUGCAGGCACGUGCGCUGUGCAGCAUUCUUCAACCUAAGAAUGCCAAACCGUCUCUGCUGAGUGUGUCAGCAGCAAAUGCAAAGGCCACUCCCAUAAGAUCUGGUCACCCACAAUAUCACUCAUACUAAUGUGCCAGGGAUUGAACUUGGAUCACCAAGCUUGGAGGCAAGCACCUUUGACAUAGUAAGCCACUGUGGUCCAUAACAACAUUAAACAAAGACCUGGAGUCUUCAAACUGUGUAUGACACACAGAAGUGGGAAAGAGGCAAAUCAUGUGUUACUAGGUACUUUUUUGUGUGGGAAGAAAGUUUUUUGUUAAUUCACUCAACGUUUAUUGAGAGAUGCAAGCCAUCAAAGAAAUGGCCCCUCCAGAAACUAGACACUGCAAACCAAGGGCCAAUGCCUAUCCUGGGUCACCCGAGCUCAGGGAGAGGCUGCAGAAACAGAACGUGCCCUAGAUCCUUGAAGACUUUAUAAUCGUUUAAAAUCACUUAAACUCUCUGGUAAAAGAUAUAGAUACUGGCUAUUACAUAAUUUAUUUUUAUUCAUAACUCUGUAUACUCUUAAUUCUUAAAGUAAUUUCAUUCUUCCUAAUCCAUUAUUCAAAUAUUUUUUCAUGCCCAUU